rnacentral:lncRNA from 1 species
AAUUUACAAAUUUGGUUGACAUGCAAUCUUCACUAAAAUGAAGCUUAAACCAAGUUGUAUCAAUGUAACAUAUGAACAUUAAAGAAAAAUGCAUGAUUCUAUUCAUAAUCAGGCUCUGAAUUGUGGUGAUUUAGCUGAUUUUUGAAAGAUUUUACCACGCUUAUCAACCAAAAAAUAGUGUGUCCGUUACCAUGGCAACCACUCA